UACGAAGGGGGCUAGCGUUGUUCGGAAUUACUGGGCGUAAAGCGCGCGCAGGCGGUCUUCCAAGUCAGUGGUGAAAGCCCGGAGCUCAACUCCGGAAUUGCCAUUGAAACUGUGAGACUGGAGUACGAGAGAGGUGAGUGGAAUUCCCAGUGUAGAGGUGAAAUUCGUAGAUAUUGGGAAGAACACCGGUGGCGAAAGCGGCUCACUGGCUCGUAACUGACGCUCAGGCGCGACAGCGUGGGGAUCAAACAGG
rnacentral:rRNA from 1 species